UCGGGUUGUAAAGCACUUUUGUCCGGAAAGAAAUCAUCCUGUCGAAUAAACGGGGUGGAUGACGGUACCAGAAGAAUAAGCACCGGCUAACUACGUGCCAGCAGCGCGGUAAUCGUAGGGUGCGAGCGUUAAUCGGAAUUACUGGGCGUAAAGCGUGCGCAGGCGGUGCUGUAAGACCGAUGUGAAAUCCCCGGGCUUAACCUGGGAACUGCAUUGGUGACUGCAGCGCUGGAGUAUGGCAGAGGGGGGUGGAAUUCCACGUGUAGCAGUGAAAUGCGUAGAGAUGCGGAGGAACACCGAUGGCGAAGGCAGCCCCCUGGGCCAAUACUGACGCUCAUGCACGAAAGCGUGGGGAGCAAACAGGAUUAGAUACCCUGGUAGUCCACGCCCUAAACGAUGUCAACUGGUUGUCGGGCCUUCAUUGGCUUGGUAACGUAGCUAACGCGUGAAGUUGACCGCCUGGGGAGUACGGUCGCAAGAUUAAAACUCAAAGGAAUUGACGGGGACCCGCACAAGCGGUGGAUGAAGGUGGAUUAAUUCGAUGCAACGCGAAAAACCUUACCUACCCUUGACAUGUACGGAACCUGCUG
rnacentral:rRNA from 1 species